rnacentral:rRNA from 1 species
GACGAACGCUGGCGGCGUGCUUAACACAUGCAAGUCGAACGGAAAGGCCCUGCUUUUGUGGGGUGCUCGAGUGGCGAACGGGUGAGUAACACGUGAGUAACCUGCCCUUGACUUUGGGAUAACUUCAGGAAACUGGGGCGAAUACCGGAUAGGGGCCCCUGCUGCAUGGUGGGGGUUGGAAAGUUUCGGCGGUUGGGGAUGGACUCGCGGCUUAUCAGCUUGUUGGUGGGGUAGUGGCUUACCAAGGCUUUGACGGGUAGCCGGCCUGAGAGGGUGACCGGCCACAUUGGGACUGAGAUACGGCCCAGACUCCUACGGGAGGCAGCAGUGGGGAAUAUUGCACAAUGGGCGGAAGCCUGAUGCAGCAACGCCGCGUGCGGGAUGACGGCCUUCGGGUUGUAAACCGCUUUCGCCUGUGACGAAGCGUGAGUGACGGUAAUGGGUAAAGAAGCACCGGCUAACUACGUGCCAGCAGCCGCGGUGAUACGUAGGGUGCGAGCGUUGUCCGGAUUUAUUGGGCGUAAAGGGCUCGUAGGUGGUUGAUCGCGUCGGAAGUGUAAUCUUGGGGCUUAACCCUGAGCGUGCUUUCGAUACGGGUUGACUUGAGGAAGGUAGGGGAGAAUGGAAUUCCUGGUGGAGCGGUGGAAUGCGCAGAUAUCAGGAGGAACACCAGUGGCGAAGGCGGUUCUCUGGGCCUUUCCUGACGCUGAGGAGCGAAAGCGUGGGGAGCGAACAGGCUUAGAUACCCUGGUAGUCCACGCUGUAAACGGUGGGUACUAGGUGUGGGGUCCAUUCCACGGGUUCCGUGCCGUAGCUAACGCUUUAAGUACCCCGCCUGGGGAGUACGGCCGCAAGGCUAAAACUCAAAGGAAUUGACGGGGCCCCGCACAAGCGGCGGAGCAUGCGGAUUAAUUCGAUGCAACGCGUAGAACCUUACCUGGGUUUGACAUGGAUCGGGAGUGCUCAGAGAUGGGUGUGCCUCUUUUGGGGUCGGUUCACAGGUGGUGCAUGGCUGUCGUCAGCUCGUGUCGUGAGAUGUUGGGUUAAGUCCCGCAACGAGCGCAACCCUUGUUCACUGUUGCCAGCACGUUAUGGUGGGGACUCAGUGGAGACCGCCGGGGUCAACUCGGAGGAAGGUGGGGAUGACGUCAAGUCAUCAUGCCCCUUAUGUCCAGGGCUUCACGCAUGCUACAAUGGCUGGUACAGAGAGUGGCGAGCCUGUGAGGGUGAGCGAAUCUCGGAAAGCCGGUCUCAGCUCGGAUUGGGGUCUGCAACUCGACCUCAUGAAGUCGGAGUCGCUAGUAAUCGCAGAUCAGCAACGCUGCGGUGAAUACGUUCCCGGG